rnacentral:lncRNA from 1 species
UCCCAAACACAAUACCCAAUCUCCCUACCCAAACCCGCUUGACCCGUUUUUCCCCUCCCUUUUCAUUUAAAGACCUAGACCUAAAUACACAGAUCUUGGAUCCCAAGCAACAGAGGGCGCCGCUGCUCAGCUUCUUCUUCUUCACAUAAAAACACACACACAUUGGAGAUUGGAGGGCGGCCUCCCAUCUGCUUCGACACCAACAAAAAGCAUGUCAUCUCCUCCCCUAUUUGAAUUUCUCUAAAGAACAGAGAACAAAUCGAACCCCCUUCCAUCUCCGAACCAAAAAAAACCAGUAGCAGUACCCUUGUUCGUCCACCCCUUGAACCUGAAAUCGACCCCCAAAACCACCAGCCUCAACGCUCCGUUUCCACCCAAAAACCCGCCGGAACGGACUACCCCCAAAACGCAUGAAAUCAGUCCCAAACAUUGCAGCAAACCAGCUGCGAAAAUAGCAGAAACGCGGCUGUAAAUCAGCACAAAAGCGCUCAAGAACAGUCCAAUGUCACGUCUGUUCCGUUUCUUCUCUUCGAUUUUGAUUUUUUGCUUCAUAAUGGACUUGAGUUUUGACAGAAUUUGAGAUGUUCAGGUUUGAUAUUGGCGAGAGCUUUUUGUGAGCUUUGUUUUUUCUUUAUGGGUUAAAGUCGAGUUCAUAGCUGUCUUGCUGAGUUCGAAUCUGUUGCGGCUGAGUUUUCAUCCUUGUUGUUUUUCAUAUACUGGCCCUUAUUUGGUUCACCCUCCUUGUUUGCCUUAGUUGAGAGGUACACAACUGUAAACUUACACUUUUCUGGUUGAAUUAAUUGAAAUUGGCUCAUGUUCAUUCCCUACUCCUUCUAUUUUCUUUUACGAUCUUGAUGAAUUGGACAGUGCUAAUUUGUUUAUGAAAGAGUGGCUGGGAUCCACAUAUGUUAAUGCUGAGUUUGUAGUUGUUUUGUUGUCUAAAUUGUUGAUAAGCAUUCUUCAUAUCCAUGACCAUAAACUAAUGAUUAUACUGAUUUUGGAAAGUUGGUUCAGUGUUUUAUUGAUGGGUCGCCGUAUAGUUGCUUUGUAAAAUCAAAUGCUGUCGUGUGGUUUAAAAUAGUCGUGAUUCAAGCUUGUUUGUAAUUGUUAUUUUACACGGUCGUGUAGUAACUCUUCGGACGAUGAAUUUGCUACAGGGUUGUUUCUAUUACCAACUCAGACAAUAGUUGAAUCUUGAAUUUCAUUGUAUCAUAUUCCUAUAUAUUAUUUGUCCGAAUGUGGGCCACUUGGAGUAACGAAUCCUAAUUUGAAUUUUUGUUUUCCUUUGAGACUAAGGUUUGCUUUAUGGUAAGGGGAUUUGUAAUAGUAACUGUACCAGUUGGUAUGGCAAGAAUUGGUAGAAGAAUUUGUGAAAUUAGAAGUGAGAAGAAGUAAUAUUGGUAAAAUGGCGUUUGUUUUUUGACUGCUAAUGUUUCUGAUUGUUGACUUCAAGAAUGAGCUAUUUCUUAGCUUUUGUACUUCUCUAUAGACCAUCGAACAUUUAUGGGAAGUUUGGUAUUAUAUUUUGAGAUUUCCUCUUGUAAUAUUUCUUGUAUCCCUCUUGAUUGCAUGGAUAAUUUUGGGUGCUCUUUUAUGUGCAUUUAAAUCUUGGAGAGAUGAAGUUGUUUACGACAGGCAUUGCCUUGAAUUUUAAUUGUCUCAUACGCUUGUGUUGAUCAUUUUGCCUUAGCCGAUUAGCAUGUUAAAAUAAUAAUUUGAGGCGUGCCAUGCCAAACAAAAUCCCAAAACUCAUGGUCCUCAAUUAAGUUUAACUCUUUAGAAAUCGAGGUGUGCCAUUAGUGAAUUUUCCAUGGCCCUCGCAAACUUGAAAGUGCGUAGUUGCUUUAGGCGCACAAUUUAAAUUAAUUUCCUUAAACUCGGAUGUGCAUUUCAUGUGACCCAAAUCCAAAUCUCAACAACGUUAAAUAAAAUGUAUCGUGGACCGCGGGUGCAUUUUAUGUGACGUGGUUCAAGGUGUGUUUUAAAUAAUGUUGAAUCUUCCUAAUAAUUAAUUAAAGCGGUGACAAGAACCCAGAACUUCUGAUUCAGGGUUCAGAAUUCGAGCUUAGAUGAAUUGUUAUAUUUGACUUUAUUUAUUAUUUGGUGUUAUUCACAUAUUUGGACCUAAUGUGCUAAAUGUUGCUUUUACCGCUUUGAUAUUAUUGAGCUGUAUAUAAACUGCUACGAAACCCUUCUUCUCUCUAAGUCUUCUAAAUCAUUUGGGGAGUGUGCCUCGUGUGACUUCUCUUCUGUUAGAGUCAUUCCAAUUUUAGAACGAGGUUCGGACAAGUUGCAAAGCCGAUAAAGCUUCUGUAUUUCCGGUACGCUGCCCCCCCCCCCCCCGGCUCGAGCAGUCUGCUCGGGUAAUCCAGGUCUAGAACAAAUAAAACCCAGGUUUUUAAACCUAGAAUAACUCAACCUUAUGCUGGAUCCCUAGUAGGAACGUUUGUUUGCAUCAUGUUCACUUGACUUAGGGGACUUAACAUAGGGGUUGGUCCGUCUAGGACAAGUGUACCCAUGAGAAAGGAAAGAGGUUGAAGUAUAAAAAUGAAGCAAGUGGGGCCUAGUUAUAAUUUUCUUGCACGCCUUUUUCAAAAAAACAAAAAAAAAUUGAAAAUGAAAAAUGAAAAUCCAAAAAAAGAGAGUUUGCACUUUCCCCUUCAUUUUUUUCCAAAAAAAAAAAUCAAUCAAAAAAAAAGAGGAAAAGAAAAUCCAAAAAGAUAUUACAUGUUUAUUUUUCAAGAAAAAGCAAAAAAAAAUAUGUGUUUUCUCUAAAUUAGUUAUUUUUUUUAAUUCUCGCCCGUAUCCAAUCUGCCCAAACUACGCAUACUUGAUUUUUGUCUUUCGGGGCGUGAUACGUAGGCAACUCACAUAGGGUCCGGUCUUCCUAGUAAAUCUUAGGUUCUUGGCUUCGCAGGGUCGUAGCCAAAUCUUGCAUGUUUAGCCACUUUUUGCCACAUAGAUUAAUUUUUUAAAAAUAGUCACAACCACAUGUGUCUAGUAGGGAAUGUUAUUGUCUCACAUAGUGUUGGUCUCAGUUUUCUCAUAUAGGUGUGGAUCUACUUACCGGAGUUUGAGCAUGACAGAUACCCCAGGACCAUCCAGUCAGGAUCGCUCAUCUUGGAAUUGCUUAAGGAGAUUUUAUUUUGUUGAGACUAUUUUUAUUUUAUGUCAUCUUUUACCUUCUAGUUUUGUCCAGUAAUGUCGAGUCUUUUGUUAUAGUUUCCUAUUUUGUAUUUGAAAAAAAAAAAGUGUAAUAAAUCAAAAACUCAAAAAAAAAGAAGAGAUUUUGCAUUUUUAUAUUUCUGUUAGAUGUUUUCUUUAGAAUACUAACUCUAGAAGUUCAAAAAUCUUUUGAGGUUUUUCAUUUAGGAAAUUAAUAUCUG